rnacentral:rRNA from 1 species
UACGUAGGGUGCGAGCGUUGCCCGGAUUUAUUGGGCGUAAAGGGCGCGUAGGCGGCUUGGCACGUCCGUUGUGAAAUCGCCCGGCUCAACUGGGCGGGGUCAGCGGAUACGGCCGAGCUUGAGCAAGCUAGGGGGCAAUGGAAUUCCUGGUGUAGCGGUGAAAUGCGCAGAUAUCAGGAAGAACACCCGUGGCGAAGGCGGCUCUCUGGGACGGUACUGACGCUGAGACGCGAAAGCGUGGGGAGCGAACAGG